UACAUAGGGUGCGAGCGUUAUUCGGAUUUAUUGGGCGUAAAGAGCUCGUAGGCGGUUCAACAAGUCGGGUGUUAAACCCCCAGGCUCAACCUGGGGUCGCCACCCGAAACUGUUGUGACUAGAGUUUGGUAGGGGAUCACGGAAUUCCUGGUGUAGCGGUGGAAUGCGCAGAUAUCAGGAGGAACACCAGUAGCGAAGGCGGUGAUCUGGGCCAAUACUGACGCUGAGGAGCGAAAGCGUGGGGGAGCGAACAGGAUUAGAUACCCUGGUAGUCCACGCCGUAAACGGUGGGCACUAGGUGUGGGGACUUUUCAACGGUUUCCGCGCCGCAGCUAACGCAUUAAGUGCCCCGCUGGGGGAUACGGUCGCAAGACUAAAACU
rnacentral:rRNA from 1 species